rnacentral:rRNA from 1 species
GACGAACGCUGGCGGCGUGCUUAACACAUGCAAGUCGAACGGAAAGGCCCUGCUUUUGUGGGGUGCUCGAGUGGCGAACGGGUGAGUAACACGUGAGUAACCUGCCCUUGACUUUGGGAUAACUUCAGGAAACUGUGGUUAAUACCGGAUAGGAGCUCCUGCUGCAUGGUGGGGGUUGGACAGUUUCGGCGGUUGGGGAUGGACUCGCGGCUUAUCAGCUUGUUGGUGGGGUAGUGGCUUACCAAGGCUUUGACGGGUAGCCGGCCUGAGAGGGUGACCGGCCACAUUGGGACUGAGAUACGGCCCAGACUCGUACGUGAGGCAGCAGUGGGGAAUAUUGCACAAUGGGCGGAAGCCUGAUGCAGCAACGCCGCGUGCGGGAUGACGGCCUUCGGGUAGUAAACCGCUUUCGCCUGAGACGAAGCGUGGGUGACGGUAAUGGGUGAAGAAGCACCGGCUAACUACGUG